ACAACCGAAAUGGGUAGCAUCUAAUUAUUAUCAUUAUUUACAUCAAAAGCAUCAUAAGAGAUAAAUUGUCAUUAUACAAAAAUAUUACUUAAUAACACCAUUGUCCAGAUUAACAUUUAAAUCAAGCGAGAAUGACUUGGGCUGGAAUGGAUUAGGUUAAAAUGAACGGCUACAUAGCUUCCUCUUGGAAAUAGUUUUAACAGGAGAUAAUUCACAAAAUUGCUAAGGGACGCCGACAACCAUGCAUUUCAAACCGCAUUCAUCGUAUUAGUAACGUCACUGUAAUUACUUCUGUUACUAUAAUCACUUCAAUAUCAUUAAUAUCAAUCUAAUGACUACAAACCAUAAUUUAUUACCAUCACAGUCAAAUAAAACCCAACUUUAAACCAAUAAAAACCAAGACAAGAUGCAAACAAAAUUGGGAAGGAAAGCUGAGUUGUAAACAGGGGUACUACCAUUACCAAAUUCGAAGUCUGGCUUAAAACGCGAUGAUGCCGGCGGUGAGAAAGCGGAAGCACCAGCUUUUGGGUAUUGUUAUUGUGCUAUAAACCCAUAUCUUGGUGACAGUUGCUGUCGGCGGCAGUGAAGAAGGAACAAAUCCGCUAUUGUUCACUGCUGGGUUGGGUCGGUAUCCACCGAUGGAUUUGGAAGAGUUGUCUUGGAGGGUUGAAGGUGAACGAUUUGAGGGCGUGGUGAUGGUUGUAUGGAUCGGUGGUGGAAGGUUGAGUUUCAACGGUGGUAGUGAGGUCGCGAUUGGGGUUUCGGUGAUGAGUGGACGACGAAUCAAGGGUUAAUGAAGGAUGGGUGUGUAGUUAGCGAUGGUGGAGGGUUGAUUUAGGUGAAGAAGAUGAAGGUGUGAGGUGAGAUAGGGUUAGUGGAGACAGAGGAAGCGGUUGUAGGAGGGUUAUGGUUGAAGUGGGAUUUCGGCAGGGUAACGGUAUCUUUCCUCCUCCCUUUUUCAAUCGAUUUGAUCCCCCUUUUAUAGAGUGAAGUGAGUGGCAAAAUCCAUGAGCUGUCAAGGGAUCAUGAGAAUCAUUCCGUUGGAAGGAAAAUUCUCCUUAGAUUUUGUGGUCCCUGAAUGAGGUGCAUCCCAAUUCAAUGGUUGGCUCAAGGCAAAGCAGUGAGAUUUAGCAGGUUUUGUGUGAGGAUGCCAUCGUUUAUCAUUUUGUACUGUCGUUUACAACUUGGAAUGAAUGUGCUUUGCAUGGUUGAGUGGAUUAAAUUGAAGCUAGGAGUUGAUAUCUGUUUCAGGGCUAUUUACAGGUUCAUCCCAAGGCCUGAAAUUGAUCUUAAAUGCUGCAUUUGUUCAUGACUCGUUCUGUUGAUAUGCAAUGUGUUGUUCCAGGUCCAAAGUUUGGAAUUGUUUUAACCAUGCUACCGAUCAUGACUCAAAAAGGCAUUUGGCGUGUUUGUGGUAUGCAGGUACAAGGAUAAUUUAGAAAACCAUUUUCUCACUUGGAAGUAGCAUUAGAUCAAACACGUACCAUAGCCGUCGACAUACAUUAUCAAGCUUGGAGAUCAUUUCUUGUAAUACGAUCGGUCUGUUUGUGUAUAGGGCUUAAGUGUGGUUUGUGUUUUGGUGAGGUUGGGACGUCAUGUCGGUUUGGUUAUGCAAUUAGAGAAAUGGUUCUACAGGUGCUGCAUCGUGAGUAUGCAUGGUUCUUGAUACUAACCAAAUGGCCCUGCAAUGUAUUUCUAUCCUGCCAUGCGUUCGGUUAUUCGCGGCUGCCACUUUAGAGUUUUUUGAAGGAGUGUUGAUGCAUCAACGGCAAUGUUGGUUAACAGGGUAGUUAGCUCAAGUUAAAGACACAGUUGCAGGUUAUAAGUCGGUUGUGAUCUACCUUUUCAGAACAAUCGGUAAGGUUGUACAUACCACAAGUAACACAAUUUUAGCAAUGUACGUUUCCUGUUCGUACUUGGAACUGCUGUGAGUUAUGAUUUGACCAGGACCACUUUGUUGCAGGUUCUUUUAAAACUUGUAGCUUUCCAUAUGCUUUUGUGCACUUUUAUCCUUGCGCACCUGUAUUCACACUCACAUUGUCGGCAUGGCGCUGCUAGCUCUUGGAUCUAUAGGUCACCGCAUGACACGGGAGCGAAUCUGUCAUAACGUCCUUGGAAACCAAUGCAAUGAGGAACCUGAGAAACUGUCACGGCCAGCUGAUGGAUUAUUUUAGCUUUAGAAUCUUAUUUCUUUCCUUUGUCUGGGUUGUAACAUUAGCGCAUCACGGUUUGAAACGCAUAUGUGUCGGUCGAUCUUGAAACAACUGAUUUGUAUGCCGUAGUGUUAGUUUGAAAAAUGAAAAAAUGUAAUUUUAAUGUGUGAACAUGUUUUGCCAAUAUACUGCACUUGCAGUUUCAAACAUAAACCAUGCAGUUUCAAACAUAAACCAUAAUAAGCCAAGGGUCUUGUGGCAGAAUAACAAUAGGAUGUGGGGUUCUUGUAUUUA